GCAGAGUAGAUGUGCGUGUGUUCCAGUGCCGGCGGGACGGGGAGUUGCCCGCCGGACGAAACAGCUCCCGGAGCUUCCGGGGCUUGCAGUACGCCCAUCGCAUCCCGCUGC
rnacentral:ncRNA from 1 species